CCUACGGGAGGCAGCAGUGGGGAAUAUUGCACAAUGGGGGAAACCCUGAUGCAGCGACGCCGCGUGAGUGAAGAAGUAUUUCGGUAUGUAAAGCUCUAUCAGCAGGGAAGAAAAUGACGGUACCUGACUAAGAAGCCCCGGCUAACUACGUGCCAGCAGCCGCGGUAAUACGUAGGGGGCAAGCGUUAUCCGGAUUUACUGGGUGUAAAGGGGGCGCAGACGGCGAUGCAAGGCAGGAGUGAAAGACCGGGGCCCAACCCCGGGACUGCUCUUGGAACUGCGUGGCGAGAGGGGAGGAGGGGCAG
rnacentral:rRNA from 1 species